UACGUAGGGUGCGAGCGUUAAUCGGAAUACUGGGCGUAAAGCGUGCGCAGGCGGUUCGUUGUGUCGGUGGUGAAAUCCCCGGGCUUAACCUGGGAAUGGCCUGGAAACUGGCGAACUGGAGUGCGGCAGAGGGGGGUGGAAUUCCGCGUGUAGCAGUGAAAUGCGUAGAGAUGCGGAGGAACACCGAUGGCGAAGGCAGCCCCCCUGGGCUAGCACUGACGCUCAGGCACGAAAGCGUGGGGAGCAAACAGG
rnacentral:rRNA from 1 species